UUCCUAGUAGCUCAGCGGCAGAGCGUAUGGCUGUUAACCAUUGGGUCGUUGGUUCGAUCCCAACCUAGGAAG
rnacentral:tRNA from 1 species